CCUACUUGACUAAGGCUCCGGAGGAAGCCACGGCUAACUCUGUGCCAGCAGCCGCGGUAAUACAGAGGCGGCAAGCGUUGUUCGGAAUUAUUGGGCGUAAAGAGCACGUAGGCGGUCUUGUAAGUCAGUUGUGAAAGCCUUCUGCUUAACGGAAGAACAGCAGCUGAUACUGCAAGGCUAGAGUGCGGAAGGGGAGAGUGGAACUUCUGGU
rnacentral:rRNA from 1 species